GGCUCUGGGAAUUUCUCCUCCCACGUGGAGGCCCCCACAGCAGUGGACACCACCCAGCCAGGCCCACCUGACCGGUCAGGCUCAAACCCUCUGGUACCCGCCCCACCCAUAGGACCAGGUGUAAACCAGGCAGCGACACCCCAGACGUGUGGUCUUGGUCAGCUCCCCUGGGCUCCUCUCCCUCCAGCUGGCCCUUCUCUGCCCAGGAAACAGUUUUCUGAAGAGUUCUCCGUUCUCGAGCCUUCCAGCUGCGUGGGAGAGAGUUGACCCCAAGGCUGGGACCACAAGAGGCCAGGGAGGGUGGGCCUGGGAUCUGCAGCUCACGGGCUGUGUGACUGUGGGCACGAGAUUUCAUUUCCUGAUUCAUAAAGGUGGGGACCGAUCAAAGCUACUCCUUGGACCUUUGUGAAGAUUAAAUGAGUUCAACACGGAGCAUUCUUGACCCAUGGGCCAUCCCCAGAUGAGGCUGCAGCAUUGCCCCGUGUGCUCUCAGCUGGUGCCAGUGUUGUCUGGAACUGUCUGGACCUACCUGGAAACUGAGUAUUUCUCUGAAGAAGUCUGCAGCCCUUUGGCAGCGUGGCUGCAGAUGGAAGGAAGGAAACAGUUCGCCCUGGAGAAUGGCUAGGCAGCACCUCUGAGCCGAGCAUCCCACCCGCUCUGACUGGCCCACAAUCGUGGGGCCAGUGGUAUCUCAGAGCCCUUCUGUAAGGAGACCUACAGGGUUUUGUCACUUACAGUGAUUGCCAUGGUCUGAAUGCUUGUGUCCUCCUCGAAAGGUAGGUAUUGAAACCUAAUCACCAAGGUGAUGGUGUUGGGAGGUGGGACCUUCAAGAGGUGGCAAGGUCAUGGGGGCAGAGCCCUCAUAAAUGGAUUGGUGCCCUUAUGAAAGGGGCCCAUGGGAGCCUUGUUUGCCCCAUGUACGGGUGCAGCCGGAAGUUGCUGUCUGAGAGGAAACUGGCCUCCACCAAACACAGCUGGCACCUUGGUCUUGCACUUCCAGCCUCCAGAACUGUGAGACAUGUUUCUGUCAUUUAUAAGCCACCCAGAUCUUUAAUGAUAUUUUUGUUAUGGUAGCCCAAACAGACUAAGACAGAGACCAGAGAACACUUUGGCAGGCUACUUACGUGUUUUAGUCCUGGGGACACUUCAAUCAGUUAGACAUUCCCCAAAGUCCUACAGGGUGAAGGACACAGUUGCUGCCCUGGCCCUGUCACCCAUUGAGACCAGGACACCCCAUUGUGCUGGAGCUGCUACCUGGUUGCCAACACUCAGGCAGCCUGUUCAAUGAGAGCAACUUGCACCACUAUCUUGGUCCACAGAGCCUUCCAAGAUGCGGUGCCCUCCAUCAGCAUAUUGCCACGCCUUUCUCUCCCAGGAUGCAUUGCUGGGAUGGAUGAACAGGGCCAUGCGAUAAAUCCUCUAACGUUGCCACGUCUGUGCUUUUGCCUCCUUUCCUCUCCGUUGUAUGGAGGAAGUUCUGACAGCUCACUUCAUUUCACGUGGUGUGCAAGCUUCUGUCAAACAACGGAACAAACUAUGAGAACCACUUCCAGCCACUGCUUCUGCACACUUCUCUGCUAAGUGAGUCUCUGCUGUGUGAGUCUCAUUGGUAAAACUACCCUGAUCUAACAUUCUGUUACCUCCUUUGUGGUCCAACACUCCAAGAGUCCACGGCCUCAGACGCCCCUGGGUUUCUGCUGAUGUAAAUUGGCAAAAACUUGCAUUCAGUGUGUAUGUGGCUCCUCUUGGGUCUCACUGUGUGUUUAUCCCUCUGCACCCAACUCUAGUCAUGGCUCUGGGAAUAAUGAGGGUCGGUGGAGGUGGAUCUCAAGGGAGAUCUGUCAUCUUGCAAGGCUGUUUCCUCAAGUGAAGCCAUCACAGAUCUUUGGGCACAGUUUUACUCACCUCAGACUCUAAGGAAGAGUCACUUCUGCUUACAGGGAGACUCAGGAAGGUCUAAUGUUCAGGGGACUCAGAGUCAGAGAAAUCCACCCUCUCCAGUUCUCGAGGUCUCAUUCUUUCCAAAUAAAUGCCUUAACUUUGACUUAAGAGAUUUAGUAAGACAUUUAAUUAUUCUUUAGUUGUAAUUCAUUAGCCUGCAAGAUCAAAUUUGUACUCUGCAUUUAAAAAAAAAAGUUGACUCUACAGCUACAAGAACUAAAAUGGUUUUUUUAGGACAGCUAUAGAAGGGCUCUGGUUCUCUGUCUAUACCUUCAGCUGAGCACUUAAGGCCACAGCUUGUCAUUUUCUUUGUCAGUUCCCCAGUGCAAUAAGCAGCAGCCACCCCAUGCCACAUCCUUGUAUGCAUGGUUUCCAUCCACAUCCUAAUGUCCUAUUGCAAGAGCCCCCUGGUGUCUGAAACCCAGGCUUGUGAUGGGCACUGCAUCGCAGAGACCUCAAGGUAAUGAUUUUACCAGUGACAAUGUUUAUAGAUUAUCUGCAUCCUGCUUCCCACUCCUCACGUGGUCCUCACUGACAUCAGACAAAACCUGGUCUGUCCAAUUACUAACUCCAGAUUCCCAUCUUCAAGGUUCUGCCUUCCUGGAAACACUGCUGGUACCAGGAAUGGUUGGUCGGGAACACUAAAGUCACUCUAGGUAUUUUGGGUAGAAGGAGAUUCAUUGCAGGGAACUCUAGGCUUACAGAAAUGUUGAGAACUUUGGGGACUGAAGGUUAUUUCAGGAGAUCUGGAAGUGCAGGGAUAGAAGGGUAGCAUCCAUUGCCCCCUGAUAACUGUACCACUGACAUGGCUAGAAACCACCCCAGUGAUCCCAGCUGCUUGUAGCACCUCAGGGUGAUUCUCAAACUGACUCCAGAAGCCAAGGUACACUGCUGCCAAUGACUGCAGGGGCCUCUGCAAAACGGACGUUGAUGAAUGAAACAAAGUGUGAUCUACCCAUAGCAGGGAAUGUUAUUCAUCCUUAAAAAGGAAGGAAAUCCUGCAGCUCACGC
rnacentral:lncRNA from 1 species